AAAAGAUGAGAUGUAAUUUAUCUUUUAAAGAAAGAUUAUGUUGCUGUAUAUUUGCACUAAUCACAGGACUCAUGUUGUUUUAAAUCAUUUGUUAAUUAUUUUAAAUUCUGCUUUUUAAUCUACUGCUGUUAAAUUUCAGAUUCUAUUAUACCAAGAAACUGGUUUACCGGGCCAGAGGAAGAGGAGUGUUACUGGCCACCUUCCUCCACUGUCAAGAGCGAAGAGACCCACAGGAGAUUGGAUGAAAUUCCAAGUGCGAGUUUUGGGAAAAGCUGCUGACUAUGCAGCUGCCAGAACAAAGCUGCGUAAAGCUGAAGUGACUUCAGAUCUUCAGACGGAUCCAGAACCAGAAAGAGCCAAGCGUAAAAAAAGAAGCACAAACACCAGUUCGCAGCACUCCAGCACAGACAGGUUCUACUAAUACUCCCUGCAGACAAGUUCAGCCCAGUGGAAUGGCAGUGAGGGAUGGAAUGUUUGUUCGUGUACAAUACUGGAAGAAAUUAAAGAGUGUCAAAAGGUUUGAAGCUGAGGAGUCUGUACAGGCACAGGAGUGACAACUUUUAUUUGAGGUUUUAUCUUGAAGACAUUGUUCAAUAAAAAACUUUUAUUUACACAUUCUGAAUUGAAGUCAUUUUU